UAACUCCAUCCUCGAUUUGUACAUCCACAACGAUACACUUAUGACAAUUAAGACACCCUUAGCUCCAACACGGUGUGAAUGUUUAUACUCCGGGAUCAACCAACCAAGUAACUUGUAACUCCAUCCUCGAUUUGUACAUCCACAACGAUACACUUAUGACAAUUAAGACACCCUUAGCUCCAACACGGUGUGAAUGUUUAUACUCCGGGAUCAACCAACCAAACACUCCUCA
rnacentral:lncRNA from 1 species